rnacentral:rRNA from 1 species
AACGAACGCUGGCGGCAUGCCUAACACAUGCAAGUCGAACGAGACCUUCGGGUCUAGUGGCGCACGGGUGCGUAACGCGUGGGAACCUGCCCUUAGGUUCGGAAUAACUCCCCGAAAGGGGUGCUAAUACCGGAUAAUGUCUUCGGACCAAAGAUUUAUCGCCUUUGGAUGGGCCCGCGUUGGAUUAGCUAGCUGGUAGGGUAAAAGCCUACCAAGGCGACGAUCCAUAGCUGGUCUGAGAGGAUGAUCAGCCACACUGGGACUGAGACACGGCCCAGACUCCUACGCGAGGCAGCAGUGGGGAAUAUUGGACAAUGGGCGAAAGCCUGAUCCAGCAAUGCCGCGUGAGUGAUGAAGGCCUUAGAGUUGUAAAGCUCUUUUACCCGGGAUGAUAAUGACAGUACCGGGAGAAUAAGCUCCGGCUAACUCCGUG